rnacentral:rRNA from 1 species
AUUGAACGCUGGCGGCAUGCUUUACACAUGCAAGUCGAACGGUAACAGGGUGCUUGCACCGCUGACGAGUGGCGAACGAGUGAGUAAUGCGUCGGAACGUGCCGAGUAGUGGGGGAUAACGCAGCGAAAGUUGUGCUAAUACCGCAUACGUACUGAGGUAGAAAGUGGGGGACCUUCGGGCCUCACGCUCUUCGAUCGGCCGUAGUCUGAUUAGCUAGUAGGUGAGGUAUAGGCUACCCUAGGCGACGAUCAGUAGCGGGUCUGAGAGGAUGAUCCGCCACACUGGGACUGAGACACGGCCCAGACUCCUACGGGAGGCAGCAGUGGGGAAUUUGGACAAUGGGCGAAAGCCUGAUCCAGCCAUGCCGCGUGUCUGAAGAAGGCCUUCGGGUUGUAAAGGACUUUUGUCAGGGAGGAAAUCCCUAGUGCUAAUAACACUGGGGGAUGACAGUACCUGAAGAAUAAGCACCGGCUAACUACGUGCCAGCAGCCGCGGUAA